rnacentral:ncRNA from 8 species
AAAUUGAAGAGUUUGAUCAUGGCUCAGAUUGAACGCUGGCGGCAGGCCUAACACAUGCAAGUCGAACGGUAGCACAGA